GAUAUUACUGAAAAUCUUAUCAAGGAAACGGCGGAUGCACUCGUUUCUUCGGGUCUGGCUGAGUUAGGUUAUGUGUACGUCAACAUAGAUGAUUGCUGGUCCACUCAAAAGAGAGAUUCAAAGGAUCAACUGGUUCCUGAUCCCAAGGCUUUCCCGUCAGGAAUUAAACCCGUCGCUGAUUAUGUACAUAGUAAAGGCUUGAAGCUUGGAAUCUAUUCUGAUGCUGGUCUUUUCACCUGCCAAGUUCGAGCAGGGUCACUUUACCAUGAAAAUGAUGAUGCACAGUUGUUUGCUUCUUGGGGGGUUGAUUAUUUGAAGUAUGAUAACUGUUACAAUCUGGGAAUUAAGCCAAUAGAGCGAUUCCCACCCAUGCGUGAUGCACUAAAUGCAACUGGGCGGAGUAUUUUCUAUUCAAUUUGUGAAUGGGGUGUUGAUGAUCCAGCAUUAUGGGCUGGCAAGGUUGGAAACAGUUGGCGUACAACAG
rnacentral:misc_RNA from 1 species